UACGGGGGGAGCAAGCGUUGUUCGGAUUUACUGGGCGUAAAGGGCGCGUAGGCGGUCGUGACAAGUCACUUGUGAAAUCUCCGGGCUUAACUCGGAACGGUCAAGUGAUACUGUCGGACUAGAGUACAGAAGGGGCAACUGGAAUUCUCGGGUGUAGCGGUGAAAUGCGUAGAUAUCGAGAGGAACACCUGCGGCGAAGGCGGGUUGCUGGGCUGACACGUGACGCUGAGGCGCGAAAGCCAGGGGAGCGAACGGG
rnacentral:rRNA from 1 species